rnacentral:rRNA from 1 species
AAAUCUGGUUGAUCCUGCCAGUAGUGUAUGCUUUUCUCAAAGAUUAAGCCAUGCAUGUGUAAGUAUGAGGGAACUCGUACACCGAGACUGCGAACGGCUCAUUACAACAGUUUCAAUCCACUUGGUGAUUGGGGCCGGCGACGGUCCGCACACGGAUAACCGUGCGAAACGCAGAGCUACUACGUGCACAAGGCGCGCUGUCACAGGCGCGCGCACUUGCUAGAUACCCACAUCACCAACCGGGUGGCGACACCCGUGCCGGUGACUCAUAGCAAUUGAGGCGAACCGCUUUAUCACACAAAGACGGUGAACCAAUCGAGUAUCUGCCCUAUCAGCUUCCGUCGGUACGGUAUUGGCCUACCGAGGCUGCCACGGGUAACGGGGAAUUAGGGUUCGAUUCCGGAGAGGGAGCCUGAGAGAUGGCUACCACAUCCAAGGAAGGCAGCAGGCGCGCAAAUUACCCAAUCCCGACGCGGGGAGGUAGUGACGAGAUAUAACUGUUGGGGGCUUCGGCCUCCAAACGGGAAUGAGAACAAUGCAAAAGCCUUAUCGAGUAUCGAUCGGAGGGCCAGUCUGGUGCCAGCAGCCGCGGUAACACCAGCUCCGAUAGCGUACGCUAACGUUGUUGCACUUAAAAAGCUCGUAGUCCGAUGUGCGGCGGCGCGCGCUGUGAUCAUCAGGGCGCCGUGACGGUAUGGGGUCAAACCCUGCCGCCGCGGAUCAACGCCCGCAGCGCGGCCGCCUUGGACCGAUGCGGCGGGGGUCUCAACCACCUUCGCCGCGGUUCCUGUGAGCAAAUCAGAGUGUUCCAAGCAGGCGACGUGUCGCCUUGCAUGGUCUAGCAUGGAAUAACAGAGCGGGACUCUGGCCGCACUCGCGUGGCGUCGCAGCGAUGCGGCGCGCUCUUGUUGGUGAAGCCGGCCGGAGGACAUGGUUAAUAGGGACGGUUGGGGGCAUCCGUACUGCGGCGUCAGAGGUGAAAUUCUAGGAUUGCCGCAAGACGAACGAGUGCGAAAGCAUUUGCCAAGGACGUUCCCAUUGAUCAAGAACGAAAGCCAGGGGCUCGAAGACGAUUAGACACCGUCCUAGUCCUGUUUGCUAUAAACGAUGCCGACUGGGGAUUGGAGGACGUAUUUCCAAUCACACGACUCCUCCAGCACCCUGCGCGGGAAACCAAAGUGUGUGGGCUGUGGGGGGAGUAUGGUCGCAAGGCUGAAACUUAAAGAAAUUGACGGAGGGGCACCACCAGGAGUGGAGCCUGCGGCUUAAUAGGAUUCAACGCCGCGAAGCUUACCAGGUCCAGACAUAGGGAGGAUUGACAGGCUGAAAGCCCUUUCUAGAUUCUAUGGGUGGUGGUGCAUGGCCGUUCUUAGUUGGUGGUGUGGACUGUCUGGUUAAUUCCGAUAACGAACGAGACCGAAAUCUGCUAACUAGCGGGCGCGCCGUCAAUCAAACGACGGCGCGCUGUGCAAUACCUCGAUCGCUUCUUAGAGAGAUCACCGGUGACAAGCCGGUUGAGACGUUCGGCCAAAACAGGUCUGUGAUGCCCUUCGAUGUUCUGGGCCGCACGCGCGCUACACUGGUGGACGCAACGAGCAUGUUCGCACCUGCGCCGAGAGGCGUCGUGCGGUGUCGCAACCGCACACAGGGGAAUCUUGCCAAAGUCCACCGUGCUGGGGAUCGACCCUUGUAAUUGUGGGUCGCCAACGAGGAAUUCCUAGUAAGCGCUGGUCAUCAUCUAGCGCUGACUACGUCCCUGCCCCUUGUACACACCGCCCGUCGCUCCUACCGAUUGGAUGAUGCGGUGAAAUCUCAGGACCGCUGCCGGGUCCACGCGGUGUCAAAGCCGCGCCGGCGCGCGGGAAUUUGAUUAAAUCUUAUCAUCUAGAGGAAGGAGAAGUCGUAACAAGGUAUCCGUAGGUGAACCUGCGGA